CCCGGGUCUGUGGAGAGGUUCACUCACAUCGGAUGAAUAAUACGUUUUGAAGUUCAGCUUGUUCUCCUGGCAGAGAGGCUGAAGACGUGUGAGCUCCCGUUUCUGAGGAUGUCAAACAUGAGAUAACUGGAAUCCAACCAGAGUCAUCACUUCAACACUGACUCCAGGUACAGACGAGCCUGAAGGACACAGCUGUGCUGACCGUGUUCUGUCUCUUAUGGCAAAGAAGAAAAAUAAAACACUGGGUUCUUAUCUAAAGUGUAUUAAAUCAGAAAGCAAAAGAUAAACAUUGUUCUAAUAAGUCUUCAUUUGAAUAUAUAAUAUAUAAUGAAUAUAGAAAUUAACUCUAUUUUCCAUGACACUUAGCAAUGACUCUAAACAGUUGCAGGCCGUCUUUAGUUAGGGAGGAAAACACAAAGUGUUGUGCAGAUGAAGCUGGUGCAUGUCGCCUCAUGUUGAUAAUAAUAAAUUAAUAAAUUA